rnacentral:rRNA from 1 species
GACGAACGCUGGCGGCGUGCUUAACACAUGCAAGUCGAACGGAAAGGCCCUGCUUUUGUGGGGUGCUCGAGUGGCGAACGGGUGAGUAACACGUGAGUAACCUGCCCUUGACUUUGGGAUAACUUCAGGAAACUGGGGCUAAUACCGGAUAGGAGCUCCUGCUGCAUGGUGGGGGUUGGAAAGUUUCGGCGGUUGGGGAUGGACUCGCGGCUUAUCAGCUUGUUGGUGGGGUAGUGGCUUACCAAGGCUUUGACGGGUAGCCGGCCUGGGAGGGUGACCGGCCACAUUGGGACUGAGAGACGGCCCAGACUCCUACGGGAGGCAGCAGUGGGGAAUAUUGCACAAUGGGCGGAAGCCUGAUGCAGCAACGCCGCGUGCGGGAUGACGGCCUUCGGGUUGUAAACCGCUUUCGCCUGUGACGAAGCGGGAGUGACGGUAAUGGGUAAAGAAGCACCGGCUAACUACGUG